AAUAUAUACCGUGAAACUGCGAAUGGCUCAUUAAAUCAGUUAUCGUUUAUUUGAUAGUACCUUACUACUUGGAUAACCGUGGUAAUUCUAGAGCUAAUACAUGCUAAAAACCUCGACUUCGGAAGGGGUGUAUUUAUUAGAUAAAAAACCAAUGCCCUUCGGGGCUCCUUGGUGAUUCAUAAUAACUUAACGAAUCGCAUGGCCUUGUGCCGGCGAUGGUUCAUUCAAAUUUCUGCCCUAUCAACUUUCGAUGGUAGGAUAGUGGCCUACCAUGGUUUCAACGGGUAACGGGGAAUUAGGGUUCUAUUCCGGAGAGGGAGCCUGAGAAACGGCUACCACAUCCAAGGAAGGCAGCAGGCGCGCAAAUUACCCAAUCCCGACACGGGGAGGUAGUGACAAUAAAUACUGAUACAGGGCUCUUUUGGGUCUUGUAAUUGGAAUGAGUACAAUUUAAAUCCCUUAACGAGGAACAAUUGGAGGGCAAGUCUGGUGCCAGCAGCCGCGGUAAUUCCAGCUCCAAUAGCGUAUAUUAAAGUUGUUGCAGUUAAAAAGCUCGUAGUUGAACCUUGGGCCUGGCUGGCCGGUCCGCCUCACCGCGUGCACUGGUCCGGCCGGGCCUUUCCUCCUGGGGAGCCGCAUGCCCUUCACUGGGUGUGUCGGGGAACCAGGACUUUUACUUUGAAAAAAUUAGAGUGUUCAAAGCAGGCCUAUGCUCGAAUACAUUAGCAUGGAAUAAUAGAAUAGGACGUGUGGUUCUAUUUUGUUGGUUUCUAGGACCGCCGUAAUGAUUAAUAGGGAUAGUCGGGGGCAUCAGUAUUCAAUUGUCAGAGGUGAAAUUCUUGGAUUUAUUGAAGACUAACUACUGCGAAAGCAUUUGCCAAGGAUGUUUUCAUUAAUCAGUGAACGAAAGUUAGGGGAUCGAAGACGAUCAGAUACCGUCGUAGUCUUAACCAUAAACUAUGCCGACUAGGGAUCGGGCGAUGUUAUCUUUUUGACUCGCUCGGCACCUUACGAGAAAUCAAAGUCUUUGGGU
rnacentral:rRNA from 1 species